AGAGUUUGAUCCUGGCUCAGGACGAACGCUGGCGGCGUGCUUAACACAUGCAAGUCAAGGGGGCCCAGCAAUGGGCAACCGGCGAACGGGUGCGUAACACGUGAGCAACCUACCGAACUGUGGGGGAUAGCCGGCCUAACGGCCGAGUAAUACCGCAUACGCUUUCAGUGAGGCAUUUCAUUGAAAGGAAACCUACGGGACAGAUCGAGGGGCUCGCGGCCUAUCAGCUAGUUGGCGAGGUAACGGCUCACCAAGGCAACGACGGGUAGCUGGUCUGAGAGGAUGGCCAGCCACAUUGGGACUGAGAUACGGCCCAGACUCCUACGGGAGGCAGCAGUGGGGAAUCUUGCGCAAUGGCCUAACGGCUGACGCAGCGACGCCGCGUGUGGGAUGAAGCUCUUCGGAGUGUAAACCACUGUUGCCCGGGACGAACAGCUCGAUUAAUCGAGCCUGACGGUACCGGGUGAGGAAGCACCGGCUAACUCCGUGCCAGCAGCCGCGGUAAUACGGGGGGUGCGAGCGUUGUCCGGAAUCACUGGGCGUAAAGGGCGCGUAGGUGGUUUGAUAAGGGUGUGGUGAAAGUCCGGGGCUCAACCCCGGAUCUGCCGUGCCGACUGUCAAACUCGAGGACUGUAGAGGCAGACGGAAUUCCGGGUGUAGCGGUGGAAUGCGUAGAGAUCCGGAGGAAGACCGGUGGCGAAGGCGGUCUGCUGGGCAGUUUCUGACACUGAGGCGCGACAGCGUGGGGAGCAAACAGGAUUAGAUACCCUGGUAGUCC
rnacentral:rRNA from 1 species